UUGAUUAUUGGCGCCACAAAUAUUGUCUAUUUUACGAAGAGAAAUGUAAAAUUAUGGUAUUUUGGUUAGAUUGUAGAAGGUGGAAAAAAUACGGAACAACUUAAAGGAUCAGUAGCAUUUUAUAGACCCAUGUAUCAGAACAAAGAUUCCUUGGAAUAUUUUUCUCGACAACGAGACGUUUUGCCUCAACAACGGCCUUGCUACAGCAGGACCCAUAGUUAAUAGCCUCCUAUUCUCACGAUCUGGAUUUCUACCGACCGUUUCGUUGUUCCACAGCAUUGUAUGCGCAUUCGUCGUCCACGCCCUUAACAUGGACUGCGUCGACCCAAAGGCUUCGGGUUAACCAAAAUUGUUCAGCCUAUAAAAUGAAUGUUUGAGAAGGGUGCUAAGUGGAGUAGAUUUUUUCAAUUUUAUAUU